AACGAACGCUGGCGGCAUGCCUAACACAUGCAAGUCGAACGAACCCUUCGGGGUUAGUGGCGCACGGGUGCGUAACACGUGGGAAUCUGCCCUUUGCUUCGGAAUAACAGUUAGAAAUGACUGCUAAUACCGGAUGAUGUCGUAAGACCAAAGAUUUAUCGGCAAAGGAUGAGCCCGCGUAGGAUUAGGUAGUUGGUGGGGUAAAGGCCUACCAAGCCGACGAUCCUUAGCUGGUCUGAGAGGAUGAUCAGCCACACUGGGACUGAGACACGGCCCAGACUCCUACGGGAGGCAGCAGUGGGGAAUAUUGGACAAUGGGCGAAAGCCUGAUCCAGCAAUGCCGCGUGAGUGAUGAAGGCCUUCGGGUUGUAAA
rnacentral:rRNA from 1 species